rnacentral:rRNA from 1 species
UACGAAGGGGGCUAGCGUUGCUCGGAAUCACUGGGCGUAAAGCGCACGUAGGCGGCUUUCUAAGUCAGGGGUGAAAUCCUGGAGCUCAACUCCAGAACUGCCUUUGAUACUGGAGAGCUUGAGUCCGGGAGAGGUGAGUGGAAUUCCGAGUGUAGAGGUGAAAUUCGUAGAUAUUCGGAAGAACACCAGUGGCGAAGGCGGCUCACUGGCCCGGUACUGACGCUGAGGUGCGAAAGCGUGGGGAGCGAACAGG